UACGAAGGGUGCAAGCGUUACUCGGAAUUACUGGGCGUAAAGCGUGCGUAGGCGGUUUGUUAAGUCCGUUGUGAAAGCCCUGGGCUCAACCUGGGAAUUGCAGUGGAUACUGGCGAGCUAGAGUGCGGUAGAGGAUGGUGGAAUUCCCGGUGUAGCGGUGAAAUGCGUAGAGAUCGGGAGGAACACCCGUGGCGAAGGCGGCCAUCUGGACCAGUACUGACGCUGAGGCACGAAAGCGUGGGGAGCAAACAGG
rnacentral:rRNA from 1 species